rnacentral:rRNA from 1 species
UGGGGAAUAUUGGACAAUGGGCGAAAGCCUGAUCCAGCCAUGCCGCGUGUGUGAAGAAGGUCUUCGGAUUGUAAAGCACUUUAAGUUGGGAGGAAGGGCAGUAAGCGAAUACCUUGCUGUUUUGACGUUACCGACAGAAUAAGCACCGGCUAACUCUGUGCCAGCAGCCGCGGUAAUACAGAGGGUGCAAGCGUUAAUCGGAAUUACUGGGCGUAAAGCGCGCGUAGGUGGUUCGUUAAGUUGAAUGUGAAAGCCCCGGGCUCAACCUGGGAACUGCAUCCAAAACGGGCGAGCUAGAGUAGGGCAGAGGGUGGUGGAAUUUCCUGUGUAGCGGUGAAAUGCGUAGAUAUAUGAAGGAACACCAGUGGCGAAGGCGACCACCUGGGCUCAUACUGACACUGAGGUGCGAAAGCGUGGGGAGCAAACAGG